GUCGGGAGUCUUGCACAAUGGGGGAAACCCUGAUGCAGCGACGUCGCGUGUGGGAUGAAGUAUUUCGGUAUGUAAACCACUUUUGCGGGGGGCGAAAAAAAUGACGGUACCCCGCGAAUAAGCCCCGGCUAACUACGUGCCAGCAGCCGCGGUAAUACGUAGGGGGCGAGCGUUGCUCGGAUUGACUGGGCGUAAAGCGCGCGUAGGCGGUCCAUUAAGUGUGCGGUGAAAUUCGGAGGCUCAACCUCCGUCCCGCCGCGCAAACUGAUGGUCUUGAGAUUGAGAGGGGGAUGCGGAAUUCCUGGUGUAGCGGUGAAAUGCAUUGAUAUCAGGAGGAACACCGGCGGCGAAAGCGGCAUCCUGGCUUAUAUCUGACGCUGAGGCGCGAAAGCGUGGGUAGCAAACGGGAUUAGAUACCCUGGUAGUCC
rnacentral:rRNA from 1 species